rnacentral:rRNA from 1 species
CUGGGAGGACCAUCUCCUAAGGCUAAAUACUCUCUAGUGACCGAUAGUGAACCAGUACCGUGAGGGAAAGGUGAAAAGCACCCCGGAAGGGGAGUGAAAUAGAACCUGAAACCGUGUGCUUACAAGUAGUCAGAGCCCGUUAAUGGGUGAUGGCGUGCCUUUUGUAGAAUGAACCGGCGAGUUACGAUUUGAUGCAAGGUUAAGCAGUAAAUGUGGAGCCGUAGCGAAAGCGAGUCUGAAUAGGGCGUUUAGUAUUUGGUCGUAGACCCGAAACCAGGUGAUCUACCCUUGGUCAGGUUGAAGUUCAGGUAACACUGAAUGGAGGACCGAACCGACUUACGUUGAAAAGUGAGCGGAUGAACUGAGGGUAGCGGAGAAAUUCCAAUCGAACCUGGAGAUAGCUGGUUCUCUCCGAAAUAGCUUUAGGGCUAGCCUCAAGUGAUGAUUAUUGGAGGUAGAGCACUGUUUGGACGAGGGGCCCCUCUCGGGUUACCGAAUUCAGACAAACUCCGAAUGCCAAUUAAUUUAACUUGGGAGUCAGAACAUGGGUGAUAAGGUCCGUGUUCGAAAGGGAAACAGCCCAGACCACCAGCUAAGGUCCCAAAAUAUAUGUUAAGU